GCAAGUCGAACGAGAAAGCGGUUCGGCCGCGAGUAAAGUGGCGAAAGGGUGACGUAACACGUGAGGAACCCGCCCCCCAGUCCGGAACAAUCCUGUGAAAACGGGCCUGAAACCGGAUGCCGGCCCGCCCCGCAUGGGGCGGCGCCGAAACAUUUAUGGCUGGAGGAUGGCCUCGCGCCCCAUUAGCUUGUUGGCGGGUAACGGCCCACCAAGGCGACGACGGGUAGGUGGUCUGAGAGGAUGGUCACCCACACUGGGACUGAGACACUGCCCAGACUCCUACGGGAGGCUGCAGUCGAGAAUCUUCCGCAAUGGGCGCAAGCCUGACGGAGCGAUGCCGCGUGAGGGAAGUAGGCCUUCGGGUCGUGAACCUCUGUCGACGGGGACGAACGCAAUGACGGUACCCGUCAAGAAAGCCACGGCUAACCACGUGCCAGCAGCCGC
rnacentral:rRNA from 1 species